UCCCUCUUUCUUCGAAAUCCUCUUUUCUCCAUCUUUUCCACCGUUCGUUGUCAUGUCUCGUUUUCCAUCUUCUCCGCUGUGGCUGUCAUUCCCAAGAAGGUGCAGAUGCGAUGGAUCUAGAGGUGGUUGGGCGUCACGCGAUGCUGUUCGACGACGGCAUGGCGGCGUUCGUGAAUUCAGCGGAAGCUCUAGUGGAAUGGAACCCCCUCUCCAUCGAUCGCUAUGAUGUCCGCCAUCUUCUCUCCGUUCCUCAAUCGCCGCCCUCCUCAGCCCGAACCCGAUCUCGAUCACCUACGGUAUCUCGAUCUCCCUUCUUCUUCUUUCGAGGAAGAACCACAAGGUAUAUCUCGAUCUCCCUUCUUCUUCUUUCGAGGAAGAACCACAAGGUAAACCUAAUGUAUAAUUUUAAUCUUCGUUUCAUUUCUAGUUCCUUCUAUUUGAUAUUAUCUAAAUAUGAUUUCGUUUUUUAUUGGUACUGUGGUAGUUUUUGAGUUUUGUUUUUCCUCAAUGAGAAGCUCUAAAAAGUAUGACUGGUAGUUUUAUUUUGAUGAUGCAUUCUUCGAGCUUAUUUUAUGUUCUUUUGCUGAAGAGAAAUUGCGGAGUUUUGCUUUCUAAGUUUCAUUCCCAUUCGUUAGAAGCUAUAGCCAGAAAAAGUCAGUCAAAUGCAAGUCGGUGGCAGUCCUUAGAAAACCUUGGAUUGAAAUUUUGGUUUUCCAUAGAACUCAAGCUUUAAAGGACGAUGAUGCCGAGUCUAGUUUUCGUCCGAACUUCCCAGUACCAAAGAGUCUACUCCAUGAUCUGAUGCUCGGAGCAUGAAUGGAGUUCUUGUGACUCAAGGUAGCCAUUCACAGGCAUUCAAUGGAAAUAGAACUCAUAUAUGAUUUGAGAGGGCACAUGGAGCAACUCUAUCACGAGAUGUCUAAGCUGAAGAAAAUAAUAAAGGGCUGCAUGAAUAUGCAGAUGGAAUUACAACAAACCAUGAAAGUAGAGAUUAACUCAGUUGAAAAAGAAGAAAAGAAGUCCCGUAACAAGACUCCAAAAAAGAAAGGCAACUACUGCAUUUGCUGAGGUGAAAGUUGACUCUGUUUUGUACAGGGACAACCUUACAUGGAAUCUGGUCGAGUGUGGUACGCAAAAGAAUUGGAAUCCCAUCAAGGGCUUGUAGAUGGAUGAAUAAUGGUUUCAUGGCUAUAAACACAACAACAGGAGCUGGAAAAGCCUUCCUAAGAUCAAUUUAUGAGUUAUAUGCUUCUUGGGGAGUUGAUUUUGAGAAUUGAAAACAAUCCGAGCUUUGCACCCUCACCGAGAGAGUCUGUUGGAGUUGUACCUACUGAAGAGCAUACUGUAAUUGAACUCACCGGCACAGACCGACCUGGGUUACUAUCUGAAAUCGGUGCAGUUCUCACGGACCUUCACUGUAAUAUGGCGACUGCUGAGAUAUGGACACACAAUACUAGAGUUGCAGCUGUAGUUCAUGUGACAGAUGAUUCCAGUGGCUGUGCCAUCAAGGAUCCGUCUCGCCUCUCUACAAUAAGGGAUUUGCGUUCUAAUGUUCUUAGGGGAAGCAAUGAUCCAAAGACAGCAAGGACAACACUUUCAGGACUGAUGCAUGUUCUUAGAACAGGAUAUAAAUUGACUCUGAAUUGAUGAUAAUUAUUUGGGGAAUGUGUCAGGACUCGCAUAUUGAAGUUACAUGGUGUUCUUAUCCUCGUUUAUCAUGGAUUAUAAUUUUUAAGGUCA